rnacentral:rRNA from 1 species
UACGAAGGGGGCUAGCGUUGCUCGGAAUCACUGGGCGUAAAGGGUGCGUAGGCGGGUCUUUUAAGUCAGGGGUGAAAUCCUGGAGCUCAACUCCAGAACUGCCUUUGAUACUGAAGUAGCUUGAGUCGGGAGAGGUGAGUGGAACUGCGAGUGUAGAGGUGAAAUUCGUAGAUAUUCGCAAGAACACCAGUGGCGAAGGCGGCUCACUGGCCCGAUACUGACGCUGAG